rnacentral:hammerhead_ribozyme from 1 species
ACCCGGAUGACGAGUUCCAAAUAGGACGAAAUGCGCCUCCUGGAU